rnacentral:rRNA from 1 species
UACAGAGACUGCAAGCGUUAUUCGGAUUCACUGGGCGUAAAGGGUGCGCAGGCGGCCGGUGUGUGUCGAGGCGUGAAAGCCCGAUGCUUAACAUCGGAAUUGCACCUCAAACGUACACGGCUAGAGCAUUGGAGAGGGUAGCGGAAUUCACGGUGUAGCAGUGAAAUGCGUAGAUAUCGUGAGGAACACCAGAGGCGAAGGCGGCUACCUGGACAAUUGCUGACGCUCAGGCACGAAAGCGUGGGGAGCAAAAGGG